UGGGCUAUCGCCAAGCGGUAAGGCACAGGGUUUUGAUCCCUGCAUCUCGCUGGUUCGAAUCCAGCUAGCCCAG
rnacentral:tRNA from 1 species